GUAAAAAAAAGAAGAAAAUGGCCUACAACAUCAACAGGAACAGCAUCAGGUGCAGGUGGUGGCGUCUCUGGGAUUGGGAUUGAAAAUUGCUUUUGAUGGAUGACGAAUGAUGGAUGGUUGGUUCAUUACGUUCACAAUACCUUUAAAACAGAGGUGAAACUAUUGGAAACACUUUAAAUGAAUAACAGAGAUUGAAUAAAUGAU